GUCUUAAAGAUAAAUUAAUUUUAAGUCUAAUCUGCCCAAUGAAUAAUUUAAAUGGCUGCAGUUCAAUCUGUACUAAGGUAGCAUAAUAAUUUGUUUUUUAAUUUAAAACUCGAAUGAAAGAUUUAAUGAAAUAUAAACUGUUUCAAUUAAAUUAAUAUUAAAUUUUUUAUUUAAGUAAAAAAACUUAAAUAAAAUUUAAAGACGACAAGACCCUAUAGAAUUUUAUUUAUUUUUUAUUUAUAAAUAAAAAAUAAAUUUUAUUGGGGAAAUAAAAAAAUUUAAAAAAUUUUUUUUAAAAAAAACAUAUUUAAAUGAUCAAAUUAUAUCUUUAUAUAUAAAUUAAAAAAAUUAAUUACCUCAGGGAUAACAGCAUAAUUUUUUUUAAAAGAUCGUAUUAAUAAAAAAGAUUAU
rnacentral:rRNA from 1 species